AGUUGUGAGUUCAUUUUUGGCUACCCGUCUUUCUCUCCGAGUCACCAAAAUACGCAUCUUCUACUCCUUCCUUCUCUUCAUACUUCUACCGCGCGCACGUCACCUCAAAGCAAACACGAUGCUCCGCCGUCUUCCCACCAGCUGCUUCCUGAAGCGCUCGCAGUUCCGCGGGUUCGCGGCUACGUCGCCGCUUUUGAAUCUGGACUAUCAGAUGUACCGUACAGCGACUGUCCGUGAAGCUGCGCCACAGUUUUCCGGCCAGGCUGUCGUGAAUGGGGCAAUUAAGGAGAUAAACAUGAACGACUACAAGGGCAAGUACAUUGUGCUGUUUUUCUAUCCGAUGGACUUCACCUUCGUUUGCCCGACCGAGAUCAUUGCGUUUUCGGAUCGCCACGCCGACUUUGAGAAGCUAAACACGCAGGUUGUUGCGGUGUCGUGCGAUUCGGUGUACUCUCACCUGGCGUGGGUGAACACGCCACGCAAAAAGGGUGGCCUCGGUGAAAUGCACAUCCCCGUACUGGCGGACAAGUCGAUGGAGAUCGCUCGUGACUAUGGUGUGCUGAUCGAGGAAUCCGGUAUCGCUCUUCGAGGGCUCUUUAUCAUCGACAAGAAGGGCAUCCUGCGCCACUCAACGAUAAAUGACCUUCCUGUGGGCCGCAACGUGGACGAGGCACUGCGCGUGCUGGAGGCUUUCCAGUACGCGGACGAGAAUGGAGAUGCGAUCCCGUGCGGAUGGAAGCCUGGACAGCCCACGCUGGACACCACAAAAGCAGGCGAGUUUUUCGAGAAGAACAUGUGAUGUCUUUCACCUAUACACAUGCUUUAUAUAUUCUCGGCUUUCCUCCUGAGAGAGGAAAGAAAGCUUUUUUUUGAAAGAAAAACGUAACGCGCUGAUAGGGGAGAGAAACAAAAACAACCGCAGCCGAGACAUUUUUUCGAGGAGGUAGAGAAAACCCAUCGGUGUCUAGAAGGCAAUACCGCACUGUGGGACAGUGACAGAGGUCGGAGAGGAGAGAGGGGGAAGCUAAAGUGAGUGCUGCAUCAUGUGUGCAUGUCUCUCUGGCUGCUUCUCAACUUUUCGUUCCGGCUUUCACUCGACUGUGCUCCUGCUUCAGACCUUCUUCUUGGGAUCAUUCGACGUGUCUUUCUUUUGGCACUUUUUCUUUUAUCAGUGACUGAUACGGACGCUGUGCUGCAGAG
rnacentral:misc_RNA from 1 species